UACGUAGGGGGCGAGCGUUGUCCGAAUUUACUGGGCGUAAAGCGCGCGUAGGCGGUUUCUUAAGUCUGGGGUGAAAGGUUCAACGCUCAACGUGAACAGUGCCUUGGAUACUGGGAGACUUGAGUCUGGGAGGGGGCAGUGGAAUUCCUGGUGUAGCGGUGAAAUGCGUAGAUAUCAGGAGGAACACCGGUGGCGAAGGCGGCUGCCUGGCCUAAGACUGACGCUGAGGUGCGAAAGCGUGGGUAGCGAACAGG
rnacentral:rRNA from 1 species